AGAUAAUAGAUACCCAGGUAGUCCACGCCCUAAACGAUGACAACUGGCUAUAAGGAGUAUCGACCCUCUUUGUGGCGAAAGCUAACGCGUUAAGUCGUCCGCCUGGGUAGUACGGCCGCAAGGCUAAAACCCAAAGGAAUAGACGGGGACUUGCACAAGCGGUGGAUCAUGCGGCUCAAUUCGAUGAUAAACGAAGAACCUCACCAGGGUUUGAAACCCAGACGAUCGCUCUAGGAAACUAGAGCUUCCGCAAGGCGGCUGGGCAGGUGAUGCAUGGUCGUCGUCAGUUCGUGGCUUGAGUUGUUCCCUUCAGUGGGGUAACGAACGCAACCCUCGUUGCCUGUUUUAAAAGUCAGGCGAGACUGCCCCCUCACGGGGGAGGAAGGUGAGGAUGACGCCAGAUCAGCAUGUCCCUCUGAUAUCCUGGGCUGCACGCAUGAUACAAUGGACGAGACAACGGGUCGCGACGGAGUAAUCCUGAGCUAAUCCUUAGAACUCGUCCCAGUUCGGAUUGAGGGCUGCAACUCGCCCUC
rnacentral:rRNA from 1 species